rnacentral:rRNA from 1 species
UGGGGAAUAUUGGACAAUGGGGGCAACCCUGAUCCAGCCAUGCCGCGUGUGUGAAGAAGGCCUUCGGGUUGUAAAGCACUUUAAGCGGGGAGGAAGGCUCUAUGGCUAAUAUCCAUGGGGAUUGACGUUACCCGCAGAAUAAGCACCGGCAAACUUCGUGCCAGCAGCCGCGGUAAUACGAAGGGUGCGAGCGUUAAUCGGAAUUACUGGGCGUAAAGCGCGCGUAGGUGGUUUGGUAAGCGAUAUGUGA